rnacentral:lncRNA from 1 species
GCACACCGAAACACCUGUUGGUUGCUUAUUUAUCACACAAAAUCAUACAUAUACAUGAAAUUAUACAACGGUGGGUUGAGCUUGCUUAAACAGUUCUGAGAACUCAUCAUAGUAUUCCAAUUAGUUCGGCUCUGUCUUGCAUGACAGGAAGGCAAAUCCUAGAAACAUUACUGUACAAGAACUACAUUCCACAACUCCAGGAAACAAAUUUACAGCACACUUUUUCUGAACUACUACUUCCUUGUGGUUUCCCAGCUCUGUCUCAGGCCUCCUGAUUGUCCAUGUGGUGCUUUGAUGGUUGGAGAGAAGGGAGAAGGGAGAGAAGAAAAACAGCCUUUGCUGGAUGCUGGUUCGGAUAGUGAGCUGGAUGUGGAGGUCCUGGCCCCAGAUUCAGCCCCACUGAACAAGUCGAUGACAAGGAGCCAGAGACCAGAGCCCACAGAAUACGACAGCAUGGGAUGAGAGUGACUGCAUCCUGCUGAUUUGUAGUGAAAACCAGGGAGGAUCACAAAUUUCUUGGGGAGACCCACAGAGCUGUACUGCAGAGCUGAGUUUCAGAAGCAUGUGCCCAGUGUUUGGCCCCAUCACUUGCUUUGGGCUCUUCAAAGUGCUGUGCAGCUACCA